rnacentral:rRNA from 1 species
AGUGAACGCUGGCGGCAGGCCUAACACAUGCAAGUCGAACGAGUGGCGGACGGGUGAGGAAUACAUCGGAAUCUACUCUGUCGGGGGGGAAAACGUAGGGAAACUUACGCUAAUACCGCAUACGCGUGUAUGAGCCGAUGUCGGAUUAGCUAGUUGGCGGGGGAAAGGCCCACUAAGGCGACGAUCCGUCUCUGGUCUGAGAGGAUGAUGAGCCACACUGGAACUGAGACACGGUCCAGACUCCUACGGGAGGCAGCAGUGGGGAAUAUUGGACAAUGGGCGCAAGCCUGAUGCAGCCAUACCGCGUGGGUGAAGAAGGCCUUCGGGUUGUAAAGCCCUUUUGUUGGGAAUGCGGUACCCAAAGAAUAAGCACCGGCUAACUUCGUGCCAGCAGCCGCGGUAAUAC